rnacentral:rRNA from 1 species
UGGGGAAUAUUGCACAAUGGGCGCAAGCCUGAUGCAGCCAUGCCGCGUGUAUGAAGAAGGCCUUCGGGUUGUAAAGUACUUUCAGCGAGGAGGAAGGCGUUGUGGUUAAUAACCGCAACGAUUGACGUUACUCGCAGAAGAAGCACCGGCUAACUCCGUGCCAGCAGCCGCGGGAAUACGGAGGGUGCAAGCGUUAAUCGGAAUUACUGGGCGUAAAGCGCACGCAGGCGGUCUGUCAAGUCGGAUGUGAAAUCCCCGGGCUCAACCUGGGAACUGCAUCCGAAACUGGCAGGCUAGAGUCUUGUAGAGGGGGGUAGAAUUCCAGGUGUAGCGGCGAAAUGCGUAGAGAUCUGGAGGAAUACCGGUGGCGAAGGCGGCCCCCUGGACAAAGACUGACGCUCAGGUGCGAAAGCGUGGGGAGCAAACA